UACGUAGGGGGCAAGCGUUGUCCGGAUUUAUUGGGCGUAAAGAGCUCGUAGGCGGUUUGUCGCGUCUGCUGUGAAAACCUAAGGCUCAACCUUGGGCUUGCAGUGGGUACGGGCAGACUAGAGUGCGGUAGGGGUGACUGGAAUUCCUGGUGUAGCGGUGGAAUGCGCAGAUAUCAGGAGGAACACCGAUGGCGAAGGCAGGUCACUGGGCCGCAACUGACGCUGAGGAGCGAAAGCAUGGGGAGCGAACAGG
rnacentral:rRNA from 1 species